AUUGAACGCUGGCGGCAGGCCUAACACAUGCAAGUCGAGCGAGCGGCGGAAGGGUGAGUAAUGUCUGGGAAACUGCAUGAUGGAGGGGGAUAACUACUGGAAACGGUAGCUAAUACCGCAUACCAUCAGAUGUGACAAGAUGGGGUUAGCUAGUAGGUGGGGUAACGGCUCACCUAGGCGACGAUCCCUAGAUGGUCUGGGAGGAUGACCAGCCACACUGGAACUGAGCCACGGUCCAGACUCCGACGGUAGGCAGCAGUGGGGAAUAUUGCACAAUGGGCGCAAGCCUGAUGCAGCCAUGCCGCGGGUGUGAAGAAGGCCUUCGGGUUGUAAAGCACUUUCAGCGGGGAGGCGUUACCCGCAGAAGAAGCACCGGCUAACUCCGUGCCAGCAGCCGCGGUAAUUC
rnacentral:rRNA from 1 species